rnacentral:sRNA from 1 species
GAUCCUGGCCCACUGGGCCUGCUACAAGGUGCAACAGAAGGAUGUCUCAGAUGAGGAUGUGGCUCGAGCCAUUAACCAGAAGCUGGGGGACACGCCUGGUGUCUCUUACUCCGACAUUGCUGCACGAGCCUAUGGUUGUGGCCGCACGGAGCUGGCCAUCAAGGUGUGGGUGCCCAGCCCUCCACAGACACUCUGAUGUGGUUUUUCAGGGCCCCCAUGCCAGCUCCUUCUCUCUGUGCCUGCCUUCUCACCUCACAGCUGCUGGAGUAUGAGCCACGCUCAGGGGAGCAGGUACCCCUUCUUCUAAAGAUGAAGAGGAGCAAACUGGCACUAAGCAAGGCCAUCGAGAGCGGGGACACUGACCUGGGUGAGGGCAAGGCUGGGGGACCCCUGGGCUAAGUGGGAGCCUGGCUGGAGUUCCCACCCCACCUUAUUCUCCUGCAGUGUUCACGGUGUUGCUGCACCUGAAGAACGAGCUGAACCGAGGAGAUUUUUUCAUGACCCUUCGGAAUCAGCCCAUGGCCCUGAGUUUGUACCGACAGUUCUGUAAGCAUCAGGAGCUAGAGACGCUGAAGGACCUUUACAAUCAGGAUGACAAUCACCAGGAAUUGGGCAGCUUCCACAUCCGAGCCAGUUAUGCUGCAGAAGAGCGUAUUGAGGGGCGAGUAGCAGCUCUGCAGACAGCCGCCGAUGCCUUCUACAAGGCCAAGA